rnacentral:rRNA from 1 species
AGUGAACGCUGGCGGUAGGCCUAACACAUGCAAGUCGAACGGCAGCACAGUAAGAGCUUGCUCUUACGGGUGGCGAGUGGCGGACGGGUGAGGAAUACAUCGGAAUCUACUUUUUCGUGGGGGAUAACGUAGGGAAACUUACGCUAAUACCGCAUACGACCUACGGGUGAAAGCAGGGGAUCUUCGGACCUUGCGCGAUUGAAUGAGCCGAUGUCGGAUUAGCUAGUUGGCGGGGUAAAGGCCCACCAAGGCGACGAUCCGUAGCUGGUCUGAGAGGAUGAUCAGCCACACUGGAACUGAGACACGGUCCAGACUCCUACGGGAGGCAGGAGUGGGGAAUAUUGGGAAAUGGGCGCAAGGCUGAUCCAGCCAUACCGCGGGGGUGAAGGAGGCCUUCGGGUUGGAAAGCCCUUUUGUUGGGAAAGAAAAGCAGCAGGUUAAUACCCCGCUGUUCUGACGGUACCCAAAGAAUAAGCACCGGCUAACUUCGUG